rnacentral:rRNA from 1 species
AUGAAUUGACGGGGGCCCGCACAAGCGGUGGAGCAUGUGGUUUAAUUCGAUGCAACGCGAAGAACCUUACCUGGUCUUGACAUCCACAGAAUUCUGCAGAGAUGCGGAAGUGCCUUCGGGAACUGUGAGACAGGUGCUGCAUGGCUGUCGUCAGCUCGUGUUGUGAAAUGUUGGGUUAAGUCCCGCAACGAGCGCAACCC